ensembl:lncRNA
CAGAACGUUAACUUUACACACUCUUUGUUGUCAUUGUGGACAGUGAGGAAGUUAUGUAACGGAGGUGUCAUAAAACUCUGCACUGUUUGAGAAGAAAACGCCAGGUCUCUGAACUUAAGAAAGAACAGCCAAGGCCCUUGAGUUUUUACUACACGAGCCAGACGCGCAGGUUCAGAUGCUCGCAGUUUGUUUUAUGAUGUCAGGCCUUAAACUGCAGAUACUUCAGCUGAGCUCGCAGGGGCAUAAUCUCCAGCUGGAAAGCUUUCUCGGGCCCUGGUGUUGCCCUUCACCUGGGUGAGGCGUGGAAAGUUGGCAGGAGACUGGAGUUUCAGCAACAUCAAUACUCUUCCUGCCACCAGGUUUGUUUUAUGUCUCUCUGCGUCGGCGGGCACUUGAGGGGUGGACAAUUUGUUUAGGCAGCUGAAGAUGGAACUGUGUGUAGCGGAGGAUUAUGAGAUCGCCGGGUGAUUUGUGGGUGGGAUCUUCUCAGAGGCCCCCGGCUGAAAUAUCCAACACUUGCUUUGGUGUUAAAUUAUGAUACCUAAACCAUAAAUAUUCUGCAUUAAGACCCCCAGCGUUCCACGUUUGAGAACAGAUAGUUUGUCUUUCUGUUCUUACUCCCCCCGUGAGUGGCUGAAUUUGUCCCACAUUCCUUUGUGAAAAACACUUAAUGAGUCAGUGAAACCAGGGAUUUUAUUCUUCCUCUGUUGCGCACACAUCUUCGCAGCGCGGUUUACAUCUUAAUAAUGUACUCCAGACCAUAAUUUAAUUCACCACAGCAGUGUGAAACACACACCGAGAAGGAAUCUCGCCACAGCAAAAAUUGGAGUGUUGAAAUUUCAGGGUUAAAAAUUUCCGAGUUGAUUUUCACUCCCUGAGUGUAAUUUUAACACAUUCUGAUUUAAAUGGUGUUCAGUGUUGGAGUUAUUUGGCAGAGUUGAUCAUGUCAGUGUUAACCCAACUCCGCAGAGACGUAAUUAAGCUCCGCCCACGCCUUUCACCUCUUCGGUUAGAGACAGAGAAGACAAGUCUGCGCCAUUUUCUACCUCUCAUGCAGUACUACACGAUCAAAGGGACCGCAAAAAACGUGUCCCAACAUGCAGACGGUGUUUCACGUGUCUAGUUCACGUGUCUAGCUAUCCAUCAGAUUCUAUGACCUGCAGUGUUGGAAAAAGUACUCAUUUACUUAAGUAAAAGUAUUCAAAAUGCUGGUCCAGGUGAAGUACAGCCAACAGCAGAAGUAUGUAAAGUUGGAUGAGGAUGAAGGACUGUUUGACUUUCUGCAAUUCCAUGAAAAAGUCAUGGAGAGAUUUGGCCUGCCACCUGAUGCAAAUGUUAUAUACAAGGAUGCAACAGGGACAGAAGUUGAUGCAGAAAUAUUCAGCGACCUCGUUGGACAAGGCAAUGUGGUCCUGACAGUUUUCUCAGAUCAGGAAUUCUCUGAUUUCUCCUUGUCUUCUGAGACGUCUGACUCAAGCUUCAGCUCAAGUGCAUCAACUAUAAUCCUAGAUGUUCCGAACAAGAGACAAAGAAUUGAGGAUACACGUGAUGCUGUGUCUGCUAAACAGUUGAUAGAAGCUGUGCUAAGAGGCAAGUCCGGAGGUGAAGAAGUACUACAGGAGUACCAAACAACAGAAACCCAGAUGCUGCAAGAAGACAAAUGGUUAAUAUCCUGGUGGCUCACAUGAUUGACAAUCAUGGGCACUAAAACAAUCAGAGAAGAUUAUGCACGUGGGAUAGUGAUGCUGUUCCCUUCCCUUAAGGAUCCAUACUCCAAGAAGGGCUAUGAACACUUCUAUGAUGCUGCAAGCAGCACAGGAUACAUUUCUUGGCGUCUGAAAACAGUCCAGAGGAAGAUUCGUCAAGUAUCUGCACAGCCACCAAAAAGCCCAAUUGACUUUUCUCCAGUAGGCCCAAAUUGCCAAAGGACUGUUAAUGUUGAAGGGCAGCUUGAUGGUGAUGCUUGCCAAGAGGCCAUGUCUUUGCUUAACCAUGCAGCAGACAAUUCCCUGAUUUUCCAGAAGAUGAGAGAGACCUUUCAGCAUCGUCAGAAGCUUGUUAAUGACCCAGGCAGAAGUGUUGAUAUACUCUCCAACUUCCCAAGAUUUCUGGAUACAAAAGGAUUGGUGGAACAAGACUUCACUCUCCUAUUUGACGAAGACACAUCAUCCAGGCUUCUUCAGAAAUGGGAUUUGUUCUUCAAGCCAAAUGUCAUUAAAGAGGCUAAGCGGCUCACCUCAACACCAGAGUUGCGUCGCUUGGUGCAGUCAGCAGAAAGUCCCCCAGGAAGUGAUCUUGAUGAGGCAACAACCUACGACCAAGAAAUGGCCUCCCUGUUGUUGCUGUUACAUCUCCUUCCACCACCUCCAGGGGGACUGAAGUCUCCAAAAAUUAGUGCAUGUGAUGCAGUUGAAAGACUUGUUGUCUUUCAUAAGUCAUGCUGCAGUUUGGAGGAGCAUCUCCGCAACCAGCAGGGUCGGCAGCCGUACCUCCUCGCUGUUGGGCGUCAGAAGAGCAAGAUUGACAGCUUCUACGUCACCAUGGAUAAGCGUCUCAUCCCAUGCAAGGCAAACCGCUCCCUCGGGGCAUGUGAUGAACUUUUCAAAGCACAUUAAAUUUGUCUUACGAUGUGGCACUUGUGAAUUUUUAUACAUUCCUGCAGACAACAGUGUAUAACAUUGAUGUGGGGAAAAUGAAGGAGUCACCCAGAGUUAAAGACUUGAGAGCAAGACUGCUUAACCAGCAAGUAGCAUUCUCACCCUGUGAGUAAGAAGCUAUAACAAUGCUGACCUGUUUCAUGUGUCAGAAAAAUUAUCCCAGCAGUCAGCAGUUGAUUUCACAUUUAAGAGUUGAACAUGGUUACUAUCCUGGACCCAAGUUCAAAUUGUUUUGUUCUCAGCAAUGCUGUAGGCAUCAGUUCCUAACAUAUGCAGGUUUUCGAAAGCACCGUAAUAGUGUUCAGAGCAUUUUUCAGCAAACUCAAACUUCAACUGUUGCAUGUUCAUCUAGUGAGCCAGUUGCAACUUCAUCUCAGGCACAUACUUUGGAGGACCAAUUUAUUCCACAAAAUCAAUGUAGUUCUUCCAGUAUUUCUUCUGAGGCCAAUGAUUCAGGACUUACUAAAGAUCCAACUAAAGAAAUGUGUGCAUCCAUCGUGGCCAAAUUACAGGGGAGUGGGAUAUCCAACAGUUUGGUAUCCUCAAUUGUAGGAGAUUUGGAAGAACUAACGAGUGAACUUCGCUCACAAGCAAAGCAUACAGCUAUUUCUGCUUUACCUAUAACUGACCCCAACAUAUCUGUGAUAAAUGAAUCUUUUGAAGAUUAUGAAAAUCCGUUUUCAAAUCUGAACACAGAAUGGAAACGAAAUAAAUACUUCCACCAAAAAUGGGGAGUUGUUGAGCCAGUAGAAAUAACACUGGGAGUGAGAUAUGACAACAGGCGAAAUCAGAAAUCCGGUACUUAUGAUCAAGUACCUGUGAAGGAUACUUUUAUCUAUGUGCCAAUUUUAGAAACAUUGAAGUUCAUGUGCAGAAAUCCAGACAUUUGUGUUUUGCUAAAGAAGGAGUGUAGAUCAGAGCCUGACACUUAUACUGACUUUUUUGGUGGAAGUUAUUUUAAAACCCACCCUUUGUUUACAGCUAAUAAACAUGCAUUGCAAAUUCAACUAUACUAUGACGAUUUUGAAACAGCCAAUCCCCUUGGCUCCAAACGUGGAAUACACAAAAUUGGCUGUCUUUAUUUUGUUGUAAGAAAUUUGCCCCCAAAAUUUAAUUCGGUUUUGAUGAACAUUCAUUUGGUAUCACUUUUUCACACACAAGAUCUGCGCAAGUAUGGUUUUGAUGUUAUACUAGAACCGUUGAUAAAUGAUGUGAAAAAACUAGAAAGCCAAGGGCUAAGUCUUCCAUUUGUAGAUGAGCAGGUAUAUGGUACAAUCUGUCAGAUUACUGGAGAUAAUCUAGGGAUGCACACAAUUCUUGGUUUUAAUGAGUCAUUUAGUAGCCGUCAUUUCUGUUGCCUUUGUUUGAUUGAGAAGAAUGAUUGUCAAACGGUAUACAGUGAGGAUGAUCCUAAAGUGAUCCUUCGUGGAAAAGAUAUGUUUGAUAUGCAUUGCCAGUCUCUCCAGGAAAACCCACAAUUUAAGUCACUUUAUGGUUUGAAAAAAAGAUCUGCACUUAAUUCAUUGAAGUAUUUCCAUGUUUGCAAUAACUAUUCAUUUGAUAUCAUGCAUGAUCUUCUUGAGGGUGUGGUUCAGUAUGAGAUCAAAUUGCUUUUUGGAUAUCUCACACAACACUUUAUGUCAGAACAAGACUUGCUUUCCAGGAUUUAUGGUUUUGAUUAUGGAUUUUUAGAACGAAAAAAAUCGUCCUACAAAGAUUAUUUUGGAGAGUGCUGGCAAUGGCAUUGGUUUGAAUUCUAUUCAGACAUUGUGUCUUGUGAAAAACAUCCCACUGUUGUUUGGUGAAAUUAUUCCUGCAGGAAACAAAAACUGGAAUUGGUUACUGUUGUCAAAUAAUGAACAUAGUUUUUUCACCUUCUCUCACUCUAGGUAUGACAAUAUAUUUAAAGCAUUUGAUUGUUGACCACCACAAACUAUUUAAGCACUUGUAUCCACAUAGAAACGUGAUACCUAAGCAUCAUUUUAUGAUCCAUUACCCAUCUUCUAUAAGGAAAAUUGGCCCCUUAUUAUAUACGUGGUGUAUGAGGUUUGAGGCCAAACACAAGCUGUUUAAAGAUUCUUUAAAAAAUUUCAAAAACAUAACCAAAUCGCUUGCUAUAAAGCAUCAGAUGGCCAUUGCUUAUCACUGGGAAACCUUCACCCUCAAAAAAAAUGAGUAUGGGCCCAUUAAAUCUUUUCUCUUCAGAGAUGAGAAUGUGGUCAACAAUGAAAUGCUUGAAACAAUCUUGUCAAAAGAUGUUUUCUCAACUAGUUGGGUUAAAGUUGAUGGUGUAGAGUAUAAAGCUGGACUAGUUAUUUGCAGUGCAAUGGAAGAAGACAUGCCAGUCUUUUGUCAAAUAAGUGAUGUACUUUUGGUUGAAGAUCACUUAUUUUUUUUGACAAACAAGCUAUUUACAGAGAAUUUUGAUGACCAUCAUCAUGCAUUCAGAGUAUUACGAAGUGCGGAAAGAUGUUUACUAAAAAUGUCUUAGCUUAAAUUUCAAAAACCGUUUGAUAUUCAAAGCUCAUACAAUGUUUCGGAUGAAAGUUUGUACAUUAUACCUUCAUUCACAAUGUUUUAAUUCAACUGACUGCAAGGGAGAAAAGGAAUAAAUGUUUUUGAAAAUGUUUUUGUUUAUUGUGAUGAAUUCUUAUUAAUAGAAGUAUAUAUUUAAUUAAUACAUUUAAAAUUAAUUUUAACAUUUUUUCAGUGUAGAUAAUUGACACAUUAGGGAGUGUAAUUAACACUACCAAAAUAGUUUAAAAAAUUAACUCGGAGCAGUGUUAGUUGUCUAAUCCCUCAGUGUUAUUUUAACACUGUUUUGUGAGUUAAUAAAGGAACUCUGGUAGAGUGUUAAAUGUUUAACUAUUUUGAAAGUGUUAAUUUAACUCUGGAGAGUGUGGAGCUAUAUAAACUCUCAAAAAGUGUUGAAAUCAACUCUGUGGGAGUUAAUUCAACACUGGACUUUUUGCU